CUUAUAUUCUGUAGCAAGGUUAACCGUAUAGGGGAGCCGAAGGGAAACCGAGUCUUAACUGGGCGUUAAGUUGCAGGGUAUAGACCCGAAACCCGGUGAUCUAGCCAUGGGCAGGUUGAAGGUUGGGUAACACUAACUGGAGGACCGAACCGACUAAUGUUGAAAAAUUAGCGGAUGACUUGUGGCUGGGGGUGAAAGGCCAAUCAAACCGGGAGAUAGCUGGUUCUCCCCGAAAGCUAUUUAGGUAGCGCCUCGUGAACUCAUCUUCGGGGGUAGAGCACUGUUUCGGCUAGGGGGUCAUCCCGACUUACCAACCCGAUGCAAACUGCGAAUACCGAAGAAUGUUAUCACGGGAGACACACGGCGGGUGCUAACGUCCGUCGUGAAGAGGGAAACAACCCAGACCGCCAGCUAAGGUCCCAAAGUCACAGUUAAGUGGGAAACGAUGUGGGAAGGCUCAGACAGCCAGGAUGUUGGCUUAGAAGCAGCCAUCAUUUAAAGAAAGCGUAAUAGCUCACUGGUCGAGUCGGCCUGCGCGGAAGAUGUAACGGGGCUAAACUGUGCACCGAAGCUGCGGCAGCGACGCU
rnacentral:rRNA from 1 species